ACCAACAAGCCUUCGAUCAGCAAAUUUCGGACUAUCAAGCUCAAAUAGUAGAACUUAACAAGAAUAUUGUUGAAGUAGAAGCACAAAAAUCUUUUUUAGAUACGGCCGAACCGCUUCCUACUCAAGAUGCCGUCGACCAUGAAGUUCUGAAGAGGAUUUCACAUGGCGAAAAGGCCCUUAAGAUAGAGGCCAAUAUUAAGCAACUGUGGGGGAAGAAAAGCCUUCUUGACAGUCGAAUCGGUCAUGAGACAAUGUUUUUUGAGGAUUUUAAAUCUAGAUUUCCCGCUUGACUUUU
rnacentral:lncRNA from 1 species